rnacentral:tRNA from 1 species
GGCCCCUUGGUCAAGCGGUUAAGACACCACCCUUUCACGAUGGUAACAGGGGUUCGAUUCCCCUAGGGGUCACCA